ACAGACAGUGUGUGAUGAGUGUAUGUGCGUGGGAGUGUGUGACAGUGUGAACGUGUGUGUGUGGGUGAGCAGCAUUUCAGUCUAUCAAAGUCACCAGCGGGCCGCCCCCGGCUUCAGAGACAAACAAAUGAGAGCGAGAGAAGCCAGAUUCAGUCGGUUCACAGCUUGUUGUUCUCAAGCGCUGAUAUUCUCCUGAAUCACACGGCAGGGUAGUGGGACACACCUGCCACGACCUAAUGAAACUGUAUGACAAGACAGGAAGUGGAAGAACAGACCCAGAUGAGUGAGCCUUAAAGAAUUACAGUGUGGAAAGUAAACCAAUCUGGGAGUUCAACGGCCCAUAUGAAGAUAGAGAGCCUGUUAAGUAUUAAGGCUGGAGGGGCUCAGGUGGAGUAUAGUCAAGGCUCUGAUCCCACACCUGCACCAGGAGGAGCUUUGAAUUGAAGCGGUUCUCAGCUAGAGGCAGUGUAUCAGAGGGACAAAGCGUGGACUGGAAAAGGUUAAACGUGACUUCAUGGACUCAGAAUGGGAGGGAAGUGCCCGGCAGAGCAGAACGGGAUAGCCUGGCACUGAGGAAUGAACUUCUUGGACAUGACUAAUUUCUUCUGGAAAAUCUUAGAGACUGCCCUUAUGAAUAUGAAUCCCAUCAGUUGCACAUCUGUCCAGAUGUCAGUGACAUAAUAAAGGCUGCCAUGUUCCUGGUGUGUUUUCAAAAGGAACAAAGCAAUGAUACUGUGUACUGUACACAAUGAUCAGUACCAGAUGCAGCCAUUUCCUUUCUCGGUCCAAACAAGUUGAGAAACCACCCACUCACUCUCCUCCCACACACUUAUGAACACAUCCACACCCACAUGCCAGGACUCUGCAGAAUCCCUUGGCCACUAAUCCCUGUGUAUCCUGGGCUUAAUGCUGGAUGACGAGCUGGUCUAAUCUAAUCAGCACUGAACUGGCAAACCCCCUCUACCACCUUUUUUCUUCCUGCGGUCUCUUUAUUUCUCUCUCUCUCUUCCUCUGACUCUCGCUCUCUCUUUCACCAUCUCUAUCCCUAUCUCCCUCUUUCUUCCUCUCUCGGUUCUCUAAUCAUUGACACAAAAGGUCAUUAUCAGUCAGAGAGCCUGAUUUCAUUUCUGAUGUCAGGAGAGUAGCGAUCGCUGGCUGCGGCCUUCUCCCUAUUGCACGCUUAAAAUAGCACUAUCAUCACUGGUGACGUCAUUCAUUCCCCUCUCCUACUGGCUCAGCCCCGGCCGCUUUUCUCUCUCCCUCUGCCAGCGCCUCUUUCUCUCACUCUGAUAACAGCAUAGUGUGGGCUGUAAAUCUAUAGCUGAGGGUUCAUUGUACUCUAGACUGCAGACUGAAGUCAGGUGUUCCAAGAAUUGUCACGAGCAGGACAAAUGAAUGCAAAUCAAAUGUAGCUAUCUCCCCCCCCCCCUUGACUUCCCCAGUUGGUCACAACUACAUUGCACAAACUGAUGACUGAAAUGAUCUCAAUCCGUCAUUUCUACGAAGGCAUGUUUUUAUACCAAUCUACUGACAAUGAUAUCCAUCUGCAGUUGAAGCAUUUAUUCUGGAUAGAUUACAUUACAUCAAUCAGUAGUGAGUCAGAGCAGCAACUUCAAACUGACCGUCUCCUCUACAGUAUAUCUACAGAAGUAUAUGACUAAUGUAGGAGAGACUUGAGAGAUCAAAGGAGACACUUGAGUUCAAAAGCAGCCAACUGAAAAGGAAUUUGAUCACCUCGUGGCUCUCAAAUGUGUGGGGGAGAAAUUCUCCACACCAAACACGUUUUUUAUUUCAAGGAUUGUAUUAUUCUGGGAAUAAUUUAGAUCAGCAGAUCUGAAGUUGCACAAUAUCCUCACAUUGUCUAUUAUAGUCUAGAAAAACACCCCUGGGCAAUGAUAAUACUUCAGACUAAGCACAGCAGUGUCAGAGGAAGGCCCAAUUUAUUUUUGAAGACUCCAGUCAUCCAAGUCAUAGACUGUUGUCUCUG